rnacentral:rRNA from 1 species
UUGGAGGGCAAGUCUGGUGCCAGCAGCCGCGGUAAUUCCAGCUCCAAUAGCGUAUAUUAAAGUUGUUGCAGUUAAAAAGCUCGUAGUUGAAUUUCGGGAUCAAUUUAUUGGUCGUGCUAUUGUACGUACUGGUAUUAUUGAUUCCUACCUUCUGACGAACCAUGAUGUCAUUAAUUUGGUGUCAUGGGGAAUCAGGACUGUUACUUUGAAAAAAUUAGAGUGUUUAAAGCAGGCUUUAGCUUGAAUACAUUAGCAUGGAAUAAUGAAAUAGGACGUUCGAACCUAUUUUGUUGGUUUCUAGGAUCAACGUAAUGAUUAAUAGGGAUAGUUGGGGGCAUUAGUAUUCAAUUGUCAGAGGUGAAACUCUUGGAUUUAUUGAAGACUAACUACUGCGAAAGCAUUUGCCAAGGAUGUUUUCAUUAAUCAAGAACGAAAGUUAGGGGAUCGAAGACGAUCAGAUACCGUCGUAGUCUUAACCAUAAACUAUGCCGACUAGGGAUCGGACGAUGUUAAUUUUUUAAUGACUCAUUCGGCGCCUUACGGGAAACCAAAGUGUUUGGGUUC